GGUUGGCUCAGAAGCAGCCAUCCUUUAAAGAGUGCGUAACAGCUCACUAGUCGAGUGACCCUGCGCCGAAAAUGUACCGGGGCUAAGCCUGAUACCGAAACUGCGGAUUGUAGGAAACUAUAGUGGUAGGGGAGCGUUGUAUACGAGUAGAAGCCGUACCGUGAGGAGCGGUGGAUUGUAUAGAAGUGAGAAUGCCGGUGUGAGUAGCGAGAUGUAGGUGAGAAUCCUACACACCGAAAGCCCAAGGAUUCCAGGGGAAGGUUCGUCCGCCCUGGGUAAGUCGGGACCUAACGCGAGGCCGAAAGGCGUAGUGGAUGGAAAGCAGGCGAAAGAUUCCUGCACCCGUAUAUGGAGCGAAGGAGUGACGGAGACGGAUAGUGUGACCCUCUUAAUGGAUUGAGGGCGAAGCGAAGCGGCUGGUUACCAGGCAAAUCCGGUAACCAAAAGGCUAGAGCGUGACAGGUAAGCGAAAUCUAAGGAAAGUAGCGAAGCACAUGAUGACGGCUUCCAGGAAAAGCUUCUGGCAAUGCAUAUGCGGCCCGUACCAAAACCGACACAGGUGGGCAGGGAGAGAAUCCCGAGGUGAGCGAGAGAACUGUUGCCAAGGAACUCGGCAAAAUGACUCCGUAAGUUAGCGAGAAGGAGUGCUUAAGCAAUUAAGCCGCAGUGAAGAGGCCCAAGCGACUGUUUAACUAAAACACAGCUCUCUGCGAAGUCGCAAGACGAAGUAUAGGGGGUGACACCUGCCCGGUGCUGGAAGGUUAAGAGGAUCUGUUAAGAGCGAUCUGAAGCAGUGAUCCGAAGCCCCAGUGAACGGCGGCCGUAACUAUAACGGUCCUAAGGUAGCGAAAUUCCUUGUCAGGUAAGUUCUGACCCGCACGAAAGGUGUAACGAUUUGGGCGCUGUCUCGGCAGCAGACUCGGUGAAAUCUUAGUACCUGUGAAAAUGCAGGUUACCCGCAACUAGACGGAAAGACCCCAUGGAGCUUUACUGCAGCCUGAUAUUGAAUUCUGGUCAUACAUGUACAGGAUAGGUGGGAGACAAAGAGACGUGCACGCCAGUGUACGAGGAGUCGACGUUGGGAUACCACUCUUGUGUGACCGGGGUUCUAACCUGGUAUCGAGAACAGGUACGGGGAGAGUGUCAGGUGGGCAGUUUGACUGGGGCGGUCGCCUCCCAAAGAGUAACGGAGGCGCCCAAAGGUACGCUCAGAUUGGAUGGAAACCAAUCGACGAGUGCAAUUGCAGAAGCGUGCUUGACUGUGAGACAAACAAGUCGAACAGGGACGAAAGUCGGGAAUAGUGAUCCGGCGGUGCCGAAUGGAAGGGCCGUCGCUCAACGGAUAAAAGCUACCCUGGGGAUAACAGGCUGAUCUCGCCCAAGAGUUCACAUCGACGGCGAGGUUUGGCACCUCGAUGUCGGCUCAUCGCAUCCUGGAGCUGGAUUCGGUUCCAAGGGUUGGGCUGUCCGCCCAUUAAAGCGGUACGCGAGCUGGGUUCAGAACGUCGUGAGACAGUUCGGUCCCUAUCUGUUGUGGGCGAAGGAGAUCUGCGGAGAGCUGUCCUCAGUACGAGAGGACCGGGAUGGACCUACCGCUGGUGCACCGGUUGUUCCGCCAGGGGCAUAGCCGGGUAGCUAAGUAGGGAAAGGAUAAGCGCUGAAAGCAUCUAAGCACGAAGCCUACUCCAAGAUGAGAUCUCCCAUUCG
rnacentral:rRNA from 1 species